UACAGAGGUGGCAAGCGUUGUUCGGAAUUACUGGGCGUAAAGGGCGCGUAGGCGGCCUACUAAGUCAGACGUGAAAUCCCCCGGCUUAACCUGGGAACUGCGUCUGAUACUGGAAGGCUUGAGUAUGGGAGAGGGAUGUAGAAUUCCAGGUGUAGCGGUGAAAUGCGUAGAUAUCUGGAGGAAUACCGGUGGCGAAGGCAGGUCUCUGGGCUGACACUGACGCUCAUGCACGAAAGCGUGGGGAGCAAACAGG
rnacentral:rRNA from 1 species